CCCAUGCCAGCUUAUUCAGGUGCUCUAAUAGGUCAAGUUCAUUCCUGCCUUUGAACAUACUUGCUUUCCCUGGUAACUGUCUGCCUGAUACCUUACCAUUUAGAAUUCAGCUUCAAUGUCACCUAAUUAAACAGCCUCCCUUGAACACGCAAGCCUCCCCUGAACACCCUUGAACACCAAGCUUACCCAAGCUAAGAACAUGAGUUCUAUGAGAGCAGGGACCUUAUCUGCUUGCAUCCAACUGAUCUCCAAGUACCUGGAAGAGGUCUCAGCCAUUGAAAGCAAACAAUAAGGAUAACUUCGGGACCUGGCAUAAGAGGAGCCUGGAAGUUCUGCAGGAGAGGAAACAGGAGAGGUUGUGAAUAAUUCUAGAACUUCAGGAUCCUUUUCACCCUGGAAUGUGGAAGUCCCACUUCCCCCUCACUGACUUGGUGAUCUCUCGAAGAUGGUGGGGCUUUCUGGGGAGGCAGGUUACUCCUCAGAUGUGGAUUCUUUCUCAUCUCCUGUGAUCUAUGCUGAUGAAGCUUCCCAGACUUGAAAGGAGACAGGGGGGUGCUAAGCAUUGCUCUCAGUAGGGACACAAUGGAAAAAUCCUUCUGUUCCUCCUUUCCUCUGCUUACAUGGAGUUGUGCCCAGGUUUCCUCCUGAAAGAAGCUUCCUGUACCAGCCUGGGCAGAAGUUUUGGGAAGAGCAGAGCUGGAGGACUGCGGCAGAGAGAACAGUAACUUCAGCACACCUACUCUAUAGGCAUUUUCCGAGUACAUUAGUAUUUGCCAGACCUGGUGCUUUUUCAUGAGUCUGAACUUCCAAGCAUAUUCCAGAACUUGGGAAGGGACCAUUGGUUAAAAAUCCAUUUAAAAAAAGUAUUUUGACUGCUUACACUGUGCCCGCUAUUAGCUGAGAAGGGGCUCUAGAAGAUUAGGUCUUCUUGAUGGGAAAGACUGGCAAAGGUAGUAGGAAGAAUACCAAACCCAAAUCCAUAGUAAGUGUCCAAAGCCCAUAGCACUUCCUCUGCCCGCGAUCUGCCCAUGGAUAUAAACUGGCUAUGAGUCCCUAGGUGGGUUGUUCAACUUCUCUGACCAUCAGUUUCUUCACUUGUAGGACAAAGAUAAUGAUAUUUGUGCUUCCACCUCUACAAGAUUGCUGUAUCAUAUUAGACAACUUUGAAAGUGUGACAUAAAUGUUGUUUUCUUAUUAUUAUGCAAAAAACCAUACAAAAUACAAGGAGACAUACAUAUUCUAAGUGGUACUUGGUUCUUCAGCAGGUAGGUUACUAUGAACUGAGCUCCUGGGGUACUAUUUGAGCUGAUCCUUGAAGAAGAGAGAGACUGUCAGCAGGUAAAGAUAAGAGAUAAAUGUAGCUCAAGUGAAAGGAAGUAUGCGUGUUAGUUUCCUAGGCUGCCUUCUAAAAAAAGUACCACAAAAUGAGUGGCUGAAAACAAUAGUGAUUUAUUUGCCCACAUUUCAGGAGCUUCCAAGUCCCAAGCCAAGGCACCAGCCAAACCAUGUUGACUCAAGGUUUUAGUUGAGUUGCUGGCAAUUCUUGACCAUCCUCGGCUUGUAGAUGCCACACUCCGGUCUUUGCCUCCACCAACACGUGGUGUUUCCUUGUGCGUCUGUGUUCAAAUUUCCCUCAUCUUAUAAGAGCGCCAGUCAUUGGAUCAGGGGCCACCCUAAUCUUGUAUGACCUUAUCUUAACUUAUUUACAUCUCCAAAGACCCUAAGUAAGGUCACAUUCAUAGGUAUCAGAGGUUAGGAUUUGAACAUAUUUGGCAGGGGGCACAACUCAACUUGCAACAUUAUGUGAACAGAAUUCAAAAAGAGGGAGGCACAAGAUGCAUUCAGAGGAACAGUGAGUAAAUUAGGAAAAGAGCAGAAAAUGUGUCGGAUGAGUGCGGAGCGACAGUUCCAGAACUGAAUUGCAGUCAACAAACAAGUACCACACUAGGAGCUGGGAGCAUCAAGAUGAAUAAGACCAUAUCCUUAGAGACAUUUUAUGUAGCAUGGAACACCUUCCUAUAUAGAGAUAACUAUACUCCAGGUGGUCAGGGCUCUCAUGGAUUGUGACACAGGAGAUAUAUGCUCUGGGAACAUAGAUUAUGCCUCUUCUCUCUUACUCAUGACUGAAUGUCUAGAACCUAGUUUCUGAUACACAGUGGGCACUAAAUAAAUACUGUUGAAUAAAUGAAUGGACAUCUGCUUUUAUAGAUGAAGAAACCAAUUAAGAGAGUAAUUUGUUGAAGGAAGCAGAUAACGAUAGUAAAGCUGGCAUAAAACCUGGCCUAAUUGGCUUCAGAAUCCAUGUUCUAUUGACUAUUUUGCUGUCUGUUUGAAUACCUUCUUAGCUCAGGAAAGUUUAUCGGCCUGGCCAUUGUUGUCUAUUUUCCACUGUAUGUUGAGGUCAGAUAAUACAUGGCAUCUUGACUUCCUGAGACCACAGGCUAGGUUGUUCAUCAGGCAUGCCAUUUGACAGAGCAGUGGCCUUGAUCUGGCUCCACUCCCUCAAAUGACAUGCUCACUUUCUCCCACAGAUGUUAGGCAGAGCCUAGAGGACACAGUGACAUUUGGCAUCUGCAAAAGGCCAUUGUAAUUCCUCCGUCACAGGCACUGUCUUUCAUCCUUUUAAUAUCCAUUCAGAAUAGUGCCAUAUCCUGACCCUGUGCCGCUGGAGAUAAACAGUGUUCAGCAAGAUAGGUUUGCCCCCAGGUAUUCAUUACUGAGUUGGGAGAUAAAAUGGAAUUCAGGUUCAUUAGGUAACAAAAUCUCAGGAUCACAAAGAAACUUAAAGUUCAUCUGAUUUUAUCUGUUUUAAACAAUGCUUGAAGCACCACUCCCCCAUUACCACUGAACAAACACAUGCACAUGCACACAGACACAGACAGACAGGCACACACACACACACAAAUACACAUAGGACUGUCUGCAAGACUCUUCCAAAUACUUAGCCCACAGACAUAACCACACACAGAAUCUUGGCCUUUUCCCUUUGAAGACAAGAAUAGAAUUCUUCUUGACCUAAUAAGAGUAGUUAUUAUUAGGAGGGAAAUUUAAUAUUCUAAAAAAAAAUUUGAACAAUAGGCAGAUUUACCCAGAUUUAGCAGAGGCAGCCAGGAAAAAGAAAAAGGCAAAAAAAACAACAGAGCUUGUUCAGCAUAGAUAGUAAAAGAGACAAAUUAAGAAGAAAGAAAUGGUCAUUACUUCCAAAUACUAAAGAGACAUCAAAUAAGAUUAGGAAGAAAAAGAGAAGAAGAGGAAGGAAGAUGUUAGUGUGAAUAAACACUCAUCCGAACCUGCUCCUUCCUUGGUGAACCUCGUCUUAGCUAAUGGUGACUCCAUUUAACCCCAGCUCAUGCCCCCAGUUAGGAAAUCAUCCGUAACUCCUGUAUUUUCCUUACAUCUGUAAUGCGAUCAGUCAGGAAAUCUUGUUUUCUCUAACUUCAAUAUACCGUACACUCAUCACCCAAACCCCUCUCGCCACCCACACGGCCACAGUCCUCCCCAGACUCCCCAUCCUCUCCUUCCUAGACCAGGCAGCAGUCUCCCCACUGGGCUCCAGCCUUCCGUUCUGACUCAGCUGCAGCCUGUUUUAUACAGCGCAGCCAAGCCAGUCCUUGAAAACGCAGAUGUUAAUAUAUCACACCUUUACUCAGAACUCCCAACAGUUUUCCAGCACAAUUAGAACCGGGUCCAUCAUUCAAGGCAAGGCCGACAACACUCCAUAAUGUGCUCUGGCCCUUGUGUUCCCCCCAUUCUGCUUUCCUCCCUGGUCCCCCUGCACCGCCCACUGUGGCUUCCACCACUGAACACACUGCUCUCACCCUCCUCCAUCGGGACCCUGGGGCUUGUGUUGUCCAUGCUAAAUCACACCUCUCCCACGUAUCCAAAUGGUUCACUCCCACACUGUGUUCAGAUCUUAAUAAUCAUGUCAUCGCAAACCUCCCCUAAGCACUGAAAAAAGAAAAAAUAAGAGAGUCUUUCCCCUAUCAUUCUCUAUUUCCUUAUUUUGCUUUAUCUUUCAUCAUAGCACUGAUCAGUACCUGCAUACAUAUUUGUAUGUAAUCUCACACAAUUAGGAUAUCAGCUUAUGAGGACAGGUAUGUUAUCCAUUUCGUGUUCACUCAUGAAACUCCAUUGCCCAGGACCUGCUUGGCAAUAAUUAGCACAGAGCGAUUGCUUAGUGAAAUGAAGACUGCGUUUAGGAGCCAACAUGCAGUUCUUGACUCUUUUUUUGUUUGUUUUAACAUCUUUAUUGGAGUAUAAUUGCUUUACAAUGGUGUGUUCGUUUCUGCUUUAUAACAAAGUGAAGCAGCUAUACAUAUACAUGUAUCCCCAUAUCUCCUCCCUCUUGCGUCUCCCUCCCACCCUCCCUAUCCCACCCCCUAGGUGGUCACAAAGCACCGAGCUGAUCUUCCUGUGCUAUGCGGCUGCUUCCCACUAGCUAUCUAUUUUACAUUUGGUAGUGUAUAUAUGUCCAUGCCACUCUCUCACUUUGUCCCUGCUUACCUUUCCCCCCUCCCCGUGUCCUCAAGUCCAUUCUCUAGUAGGUCUGUGUCUUUAUUCCCGUCCUUCCCCUAGGUUCUUCAUGACCUUUUUCUUUUUUUUUUUUUUUUAGAUUCCAUAUAUAUGUGUUAGCAUACGGUAUUUGUUGACUCUUUAACUUCGAUCUUAGGUGAGCUUUUCUCUUUCGAUGGUGAGAAUGUCCCCAGAAGUUACAGAGCUAUUUCCUUCCUUUCUAAGAAACUCAGUGGAAAAAAAAGAUGUCUUUUUUUUCCCAUUUUUUCCAAUGUUUGAGUACCAUUGGACUAAUGGGCCAUUUGCUUAGUCCGGAAACAAUCUCUGUGGUCAACAGAUGAAAUUAACUGAUUGGUUAGACCAGAUCCUGCUUUCACCACUGGAGUUGGGAUUGGUCAAUCCCCAAGCCACAUGGACUUAGGGAAUGGGAGCGCUGUGACUCCCCAAAAGAAAACAGAGAUGUUGCUACCAAGGGGAGAUCCAGGUUCUAUGAGGUCUAGAACUUAAAUUAAGAAAAUGAGUAUAAAACUGCAAAUGCAAUAUUAACCAUAGGGCACUGGAAGUGGCCUGUGUGUGUGUAACAGGCCCUGAAACUGAAAAUUGUAGCAUCACGGCAAGUCUAUUUUUGGGAAAGAAAAAGUAAAAAAGAAAACAGAUGUCUUCACAAGGAGACUGAAAGGGAAGAAAAAAUGUGGACCAGCCAGAGAGACCAUGCGAGAGGAGGGCUUGAUUAGAGACAAAAGAAGGACAACUGUCAAUUAGACAUGACAAAGCUUCCCUCUCUUCAGCUGAACACUUUUCCUGCUCAAUGCAGGAAUUUUCAGAGCGAUUUCCAGCCAGGAAGAGAGGAAUGCGGAAUUUGGUCUUAAGCUGUCUGUUCUUACCAUUGUCUGCAGCUUGCUCUGAAGUGACUUGUGGAAAGAACAGCUGUGUGUCCCUAGUACAGCUAAUCCUUUUGGAAAAAAAAAAUAAGUUACAUAACAUAAAUGUGUUUAGCUCAAUCUCCGCCUCCCCCAUAAUUUAAAACAUCCUGCAGGAUGUCAUGUUUGGGUAAGGUGUGAAUAUUAAUGAUGAGUCCUAGCACUAUACAUCCAGUAUCUCAACACACGGGGAGAGGGGUCUCGCUUCCUGGGUCAUGGAUGCUUAUCCUGCAAUUCUGGGGGAAUUGGUCGAGCUGAACAUGUACCUAGAAACACAAAUGGACUCGGCGCUCAAAGUCUGAGCAGUUCUGUCCUGGCCCUCACUUCAGUGAAGAACUCCCCCAAUUCCAGUUCUGAUGAUUUCUGUGAAGAACAAAAUGUUAUCAAGGUAGGCCCGGGGCAUCGUGUGUCCAGAAUUUCCCGAUAGUUAACAACAAACUCCAUCUUGUUCAUAAGAGUUCACCACAAAGAAAACCCCAUUGCUUUUAUGGUGUUAGUCAGGGCAGAGAUUUGGGUCAAAUAGGGGUGGAAGUACUUUAUAAGAGAGAAAAUCAGAUUAGUUAGGCCUCUACACACUUUGGCUUUACUUCCUCAAGGUUUGUUGAAACCUCUCCCAUUCCUUUCUAUCUGACCACUCCUUCCCUAUUCACCUGGAUGGGACUUGCAUGGUAAAGGUGAGACUUUACACAAGCCCAGAAACACCAGGGAACUGAAGCAAUCAUCCCUGAAAAACAAAACACAUGCCCCAAAGAAGCAGACUUCAUGGGAGUCAGACAAAUCCGGUUGGGUGGAUGUGGUAACUUCUGUUUUUUACUCUCUCCCCAGCAUGCUUUCCCACCCCCAUUCUCCUGGUUCAACAUACAUCAGGGGAAUGAGCUAACUCCUUUUGUACUUCAAGGCCUGGUAUCCAUCAAUUACUGGUGCCAUCAAAACCAUAGUCCUUGCCGUCUCUGUGGUUCAUCCUUAGGGAUGAACUUUGACGUACUUCCUAACACCAAUUGAAAGCAGUGUGUUUCUCAAGGCUCAGACAACAUUUAAGAUGCAAUGGGAGCUUGAAUUAUCAAAUGAACUCCUCAUCUAACGAGAAAAAAAGAAGACGGGGAUUCAGAUCGGAAGUCACUUUCCUGAAUGCCAUUUUGUUUAGAGUGGCCUCUGUGUGAAUAGCAUCUAAGACCAGGGAAAAGAGUGACUUCAGGCUCAGAAAGCAGAUGACAAUUCCCAUCAAGUCACUAGAAACGGAAUGAAAAUAAAGGAAGCCUAAUUAGCCUUUAACUCUUUAACCACAACGUCCUCCUGAAGUACGGAGAGGAAAUUCACCACCAGCGCUCAGAGCCACAUGGAAGAAAUUAAUGUCUGCCUUCACCAAUCCUCUUUCAAGGCACAAUAGUAAAUAUGCAUUAUAUUUAACAAUCAUGUUUCCCUGGAGCUAAGCAUGGGUUUCAGUGAAAAUAAAUGCUCUGUAAUGUGUCUCAGAAUGCUACCCUGGAAUUGCAAACAGAAAGUCUGGUGCCCUCAACCAUGGCAGAAUGAACUGCAUAAUGACAAGGAGAGGGAUCAAUAAAUAGGGCUUGAUUUGUUAUCUGGGAUUUAUAAUUCAUCUCUGCUUGCAGAAUGGAAGCUUGAUUAGGUGUGAAGAUCACUUCCCAAGUUUGGCUGUUUUCCAGUCUUUGGUGCUGGCGGAGACAGAGGCCAGGGGUUAUAUAAGGCACGGAGGAAACGGCAUUGAUUAGUGUCCUGGCUGUAUCAUGGACCUACUGCACAUUCAAUGUUUGUAUCAUGGCAACAUUCAUUUAGUUCAUCUUAUGUAUUUGUAAUAUAUGUUCAUCAUAGUUUAUUCAUAUAUAUCCAUGAUAUAUGGUUUAUUCUUUCAUACAUAGUUUAUUCAUAUAGGUAAAUAUAUAUUUGUAUAUAUAUAUGUGUUUAUGAACAUAUAUUUAUAUUUACUGUGUGUAUGUGUAUAUAUAUCCUUGGAUGUGGGAAAGAGUUGUAGAGGUUAGUUGUUUAUUUAUAGCCUCAUGAAGUCACUGGUGAAGUCAUUGCUUGCUAGAGCAAAAAAAGGAAACUCAAAUAGAUCAUCUAAGUGGAGGGGUUUUUCAAAUGCAGUCCCCAAAGGCCUGGGUUUCUGUAAAGGAGCUGCAGAAAGAUAUGCAUUUAGAUGGAUGUGUAUCUAAAUUUGAAUCUCAGUCAUGUCACUGGCUAACUCUGUAACCCUGAGCAAGACAUCUGCCUCUGUACAAUGGGGAUGAUAAUAGUAACUACAUUAUAGGGAUGUCAUGAGUCUUACAUGAGUUGUUGCAUGUAUUUACCACAGAGCUGGGAAUAUAGUAAGGACUUAAUGAAUGUUCGUUAUUACUAUGUAUCUACACCUCUAUUUCUCUCUCUAUGACCAUGAUUAAAUAUCAAUAUCCUUGGAAGAUUAUGCUUGAAAAAAAACUUCUCCCAGUUUUCUAAGAGAUUUUCAAAAACUUAUUAAUCUAGUCUAAUAUGCUCUAGUAUAUAUGUAAGGAAGAUUAAGUUCAGAAAGUGGAGGUGACUGUGUCAAGGUCAUAGAAAGCCUGUAGCCUAUUGAAAAGAGGAAGGUCUCAGGAAAGAUUUGGCCUGGUUGGUUCAACCAAGGCUCACUGGGACUGGUUAAGAGGUUAUUGAAUAAAGGUGAAUCGAAUUUAGUCCAUAUACUGACACCAGCCUCCACUCACAUAUGGAAGCACACAAACACAGAAACCCCACACAUACAAACUCACUCACACACACACACACACACUCACCCCUAUAAACACAUACUCACAUACACAAACAUGUACACAUACACUGACUAAUUCACAUGCAAACACACACACGAUCUGGGUGCAGAGCCUCGGUAAACUAUUUUUCACUUCCAUCUUGUCCUCUGUAAACUUUUAGGCAUAUCUGUCACCGGAUUGCUCUUGUUUUGGGUGGUGGGACAACUCUACCAAACCAGUCAGUGUGCCUAGUGCGCCCCUCCCCAACUCUGCCCAACCCAUCUAUUGAGCUUUCACUAUACUAAGCUGUUUACAAGCAUUACUUCCUUUAAUCCUGAUCAAGUAGAUAGUAGUCACUAAUGCUUUUUCUAUAGGCAGGGCAACUCAAACUCAUAAAAGUUAAGCAACCUGCCCAAAUCUCAGGACUACUAGUUGACCAUAAAAGGAUUUAAAACCAGUUUUGUGUCACUCCAAAGCCCAUGCUCUAUUCCAGAAUUUCUUAAGUUGAGAUCUCAAUCCAUUAAUUGAUCAAGAGUACUCAAUUAAAUGGGUUUCAACCAGCAUCUACAAUAAUAGAAACAGAAUGGAAGAAAAAACAUAAGGGUACAUCACACACCGUAAAAGUAUUAUUUUGUAAAACUUGUCUACAUAUGCAUGUGUUUGUGUGUUUGGGAUAGGUACAUAAAGUAGAUUUUGAACUAUAAGUCUCAAUCAGAAAAGUUUGAAAGGUAGCAUCUUAUUCAUCUGUACUGCCAGGGACAGUCCAGUCAUUCAGCGCCAAGCUUCCCGGGAACCCUCCAGGCAGAAUAAAUGGCUUCUGCACGUGUGUUCCCACAGCACCGUGUACAUGUCUAUCUUACAACCCUAAUCAAAUUGCACUUUGGUUUUCUCCCCAAAGGGUGGCCAUGUGUGUAUGGAGGUCUUCCUCCUGUGCCUUUCCUCUUCACCUCUCCAUGCCUCAUGCAGCACCGUGGAGAGAUGGACACCUGAAGAGUGUUUAUUGCUUUGAAUUUGACAGAAUUGAAAACUGAGCCAUGUAAGAGCUGAAUGCUCUGGUUUUUGAAUCUCCUAGAUUUCUCUUUUAUGGCCUAGCUUGAGAUCAGUUCACUCUUCCUUAGCACCUACAGCAAGAACAGGCUGAAGAAGAAAAGGAGAAAAAAGAUAAGGCAAAAGAGAAAGAGAGUAAUGUUUAGAAUUAAUAAUUUGGAUAAGACUCCAAAAAGAAGAGAAACUCAGGACUAUUUACUAAAUAUAUGUUUUGAUAUAAAGGAGAUAUGAAUGUAUUUCAUCCAAAUGAUCACAGGCCCACCAUCAAAAGCUAAUAAUUAAUAGCUGAAUGUAAUUGGGUAUAUCCAGAGGAAGGACACUUGAGCUAUUAACAUGGAGAAAAAAAAUGAGAACUUUCCACCCCCUCUUCCUGUGCUGUCCUUUGGCCAGCAGAGAAAGCCAGGACAAACACUGCCUCCUGAGGCUAGAGAGGGUUUGACUGUAAUUUUUUGGUUGUUUAUUGUUGUUUUACUACUCUCUAUUUUCACACGCUUUGGCCAAAGGGAAACGGAAAUGCUGAGUCCUGAGUGUUCAUUCUCAUGAGAAGAAACCACGACAAACCCUGAUAGAGCCAGAAACCCCUGGGGUCAUAUUUUCCCUUGCUCCAUGUGGGAGGAACAUGCUUGAUGACCGGGUACAUCUUCUCAGAUGAACAAAGAGUUCUUAAUUUGGAAUCAAUGUUGACCAAACAGGCUUUGGAAAACAAAGCAUUUUCUCACUUGGUUGCUGACAUAAUCCACAGGGCUGACAUGAGUUCACUGUAUCAACUUCUCAGAGAAAGUCACUUACGCAGUCUUCUAUUGUCUAUUUGUCUAUUAUUAUUAUUAAUCACAGUAUCAUUUCAUUCUCUAUCUUUAUUAUUUAAGGGGCUCUGAUUCUACGCUCCAAGGUUAGGUCUGCGAGCCUUGUCAGAGCUCAGAGGGUAACACGGAGUCAGGGCAGAGGGGUGGGACUCUGUGGAAUAUGGUUAGGAAUAGAAAAAUGGACCUUUUGUGACAUACAAUGCUGCAAGUUUAGAGAAUUUAAUCAAAUUAAAUUUCAGAUAAAAUUACAGAGAAAGCAUUUUCAUUCAAGUCUCAAAUCCUUCAUUAUUUUAAUCUAUGGAUUGGGAUUCUUUUUUAAGAAAAAUGUACUGGUCUGAAAUAAAUCUGUGAUGGCCUCGGAAAUGUAAUGGUGUCAGAGCACAUCCUUCCUUCCAUCUCCCAUUGCAGUGAGUCACUACCUCCUCAUCCAGGUUGACCUUUCCCCUCCUAUCUUUUUUUUGGCCACGCUGUGCAGCAUGUAGGAUCUUAGUUCCCUGACCGGAGACUGAACUUGCACCCCCUGCAGUGGAAGCGUAGAGUCUUAACCACUGGACUCCUUCCUUCCAGCUCCCAUUGCAGUGAGUCACUACCUCCUCAUCCAGGUUGACCUUUCCCCUCCUAUCUUUUUUUUUUCUGGCCAUGCUGUGCAGCAUGUAGGAUCUUAGUUCCCUGACCAGGGAUUGAACUGGCACCCCCUGCAGUGAAAGCGCGGACUCUUAACCACUGGACCACCAGAGAAGCCCUUCCCCUCCUAUCUUGAUCAUUAAUUUCUUAGUUCAGCCUCUAUACUCUUUCAGAUACUUUUCCCAGUUGUCUCCAGACAAAAAACAGGAGGAAAAGGAAAAGAGUCCUCAUGGCCACUGACAGUGUGAUGGUUAACAAUUAAAUUGUAUGCUAAUUAGGUUUAUAGGAUAUUUGAGGCUAUUAAAAAGAAAAUAUUAGAGCUAUAUCUUUGAACCAGGAAAGUGGCCCAUGAUAAAUUCAGAGGGAAAAGUAAGCUUCAGAAUAGUUGUUUAGUAUGGUCCUAUUAUUAUAAAAACAAAUAGCCUCCCAUAUACUUUAUGUAUGUAUAUAUAUGCAUAUAACCUGGAUGUUACAUUUGACGACCCUUGAAGUAGGAAACUGGAUCGAUGGAGAGUAUAAAAGGAUAUGGAGUGUUAUUGUGGAAGAUAAGUGUCUUUGGGUGUGUGAGUAUGCUUGUGUGUAUUUAAGUUUAAAGGGAUUAUAAAA